CACUUCCGGAGCAAAUGUCAAGCCUCGAGCGGGCGGCUGGAGAGGUGCGGGGGGCGCCGGCUGCUCGGCGGCCUGGGGAGGACGAGGAGGCCUCGGAGGGCGGGUCCGCGGCUAUAGCUCACGGCCCUCAGCCCCUCAGCCCAGGCGGCCACGGGCUACUAAUGAGGAUUCGCUGGCUUUUUUCCCCGUAUCGCGCCGGCCGACCGAAUUCUGUGCUCUCUGUUCCCUAGUAGUUCUACCUCCCGCAGAAGCCUUAAGCCGUCAGUAGGGGUCACCGAAGUUAGAAGUUACUUGAAGUUACCUUGUAUUCACCUCAGAAAGAAAGUACCCCCAGGCCAGUGGUGUGUUGAAGGUGACUUGAACAGUCUCGUUAAAAUUGGGACGCGGGUUCGAACCUUGGUCUGGGAAGAUCCCACAUGCCAUGGAGCAACUAAGCCCGUUUGCCACAACUACUGAGCCUGCGUGCCACACUACUGAAGCCCACACACCUAGAGCCCGUGCUCCGCAACAAGAGAAACCACCGCGCCGGGAAGCCCGUGCACUGCAACGAAGAGUAGCCCCGCUCACUGCAACUAGAGAAAGCCUGCCCGCAGCAACGAAGACCCAACACAGCCAAUAAAUAAAUAAAUAAAUUUAAUUUUUAAAAAAAGAAAAAGAAAGGAUGUGUCAGAUCAUUAUAUUCAGGUAUAAUAAUCUGGGGGCAUAUGUCUCAUCAAGACCCAAUGCCUGGUACUUAAUAGGAGCCCAAUAAAUUUUGCUUAACUGGAGGGCAUGCUUUAGCCAGAAUGGAGUAGCUUUGGCUAACACCACCUAAAAUCACUACCAGAUAGGAAACAGGUGAUUUUGAAUUGAGACUGUAAUAUACCACUCAAAAAAAACAAAAA